AGCGAACGCUGGCGGCAGGCCUAACACAUGCGAGUCGAACGAAGCCUUCGGGCUUAGUGGCGGACGGGUGAGUAACACGUGGGAACGUACCUUUUGGUUCGGAACAACUCAGGGAAACUUGAGCUAAUACCGGAUGAGCCCUUAGGGGGAAAGAUUUAUCGCCGAAAGAGCGGCCCGCGUUAGAUUAGCUAGUUGGUGAGGUAAAGGCUCACCAAGGCCACGAUCUAUAGCUGGUCUGAGAGGAUGAUCAGCCACACUGGGACUGAGACACGGCCCAGACUCCUGCGGGAGGCAGCAGUGGGGAAGCUUGCGCAAUGGGCGAAAGCCUGACGCAGCCAUGCCGCGUGAAUGAUGAAGGUCUUAGGAUUGUAAAAUUCUUUUACCAGGGACGAUAAUGACGGUACCUGGAGAAAAAGCCCCGGCUAACUUCGUGCCAGCCGCCGCCGUAAUAC
rnacentral:rRNA from 1 species